AUUGAACGCUGGCGGCAUGCCUUACACAUGCAAGUCGAACGGUAACAGGUCUUCGGAUGCUGACGAGUGGCGAACGGGAGAGUAAUACAUCGGAACGUGCCCAGACGUGGGGGAUAACGAGGCGAAAGCUUUGCUAAUACCGCAUACGAUCUAAGGAUGAAAGCAGGGGACCGCAAGGCCUUGUGCGUUUGGAGCGGCCGAUGGCAGAUUAGGUAGUUGGUGGGAUAAAAGCUUACCAAGCCGACGAUCUGUAGCUGGUCUGAGAGGACGACCAGCCACACUGGGACUGAGACACGGCCCAGACUCCUACGGGAGGCAGCAGUGGGGAAUUUUGGACAAUGGGCGAAAGCCUGAUCCAGCAAUGCCGCGUGCAGGAUGAAGGCCUUCGGGUUGUAAACUGCUUUUGUACGGAACGAAAAGGCUCUGGCUAAUACCUGGGGCACAUGACGGUACCGUAAGAAUAAGCACCGGCUAACUACGUG
rnacentral:rRNA from 1 species